AUCUUCACUAACUUCUCUGUCUUCCUUCUGACCUUCUGUCCCUGUG
rnacentral:sRNA from 1 species